AAUCCGGCAUUGCCAUUGGCUAUAAGGAGUAUCUGUCGCUGUAAGACCAACGUGGUAUCUCAAAUUUGACUUCCCUAAUCUCUUUACUUCAUGAGGCAUAUAGCAAUGGAGUCAGAUAACUCCAAUCCAUUUCCUGAACUGGAGUUCUUAUAUUGUAUUACCAAUGUCAACAAGUUAUAUGUAGCAAAGAAAAAUCCAAGUGACAAAAGCACCAAAAAGAAUGGUGAUAC
rnacentral:misc_RNA from 1 species